rnacentral:ribozyme from 14 species
CCGGGUCCUCGCCCUUGGGGAGGCUCCGGUGGAUGGCGAUGCUGAGAUCGCAGAGAUCCUGGCCCUCGCAAUUCUCCAGGGCGACGAAGGAGAGCUGGCCCGAGACGCCGGGCCCAACCAGCGAGCCGGAGUGGGA